rnacentral:rRNA from 1 species
UUAAAGGAAUUGACGGAAGGGCACUACCAGGAGUGGAGCCUGCGGCUUAAUUUGACUCAACACGGGGCACCUCAUCAGGUCCGGACAUGAAUGCGAUGGACAGAUCGAUAGCUCUUUCUAGAUCUCAUGGAUGGUGGUGCAUGGCCGUUCCUAGUUCGUGGAGUGAUUUGUCUGGUUAAUUCCGAUAACGAGCGAGACUCUAACUUACUAACUAAGACGGAUGAUAUACACGAGGUUCGUUUGCUGUAUGCGUAUGCUGUACUUGUACGUCUCGUUCGUCCGUACGUGUGCGUGUGUGUGUGUGUAUGGUUGUUGUUAUCGUUUAGGCGGUAGCAGCGGCUUGCACGCGCGCGUGGGUGCACGUCGGCGGCGUGUGUCUGGUAUACUGCUGCGCUAUAGCUCGGGCCAUACUAUCGGCGACAAUAAAAUCUUCUUAGAAGUAUAAGCUAUAUAUAGUAGCAUGAAAGAGAGCGAUAACAGGUCAGUGAUGCCCUUAGAUGUCCUGGGCCGCACGCGUGCGACAAUGAAAGAGGCAAUAGGUUUCCUAGACCGAAAUGUCCGGGUAAUCCUAGCAAUCUCUUUCGUGUUGGGGAUUGGGGCUUGAAAGUGCUUCCCAUGAACGAGGAAUUCCCAGUAAGCACAGUUUAUCAAUCUGUGCUGAUUGAGUCCCUGCCCUUUGUACACACCGCCCGUCGCUACUACCGAUGAGCGGGCUAGCGAGAUCUUCGGACCGGCGCCUCGAAAGAGGUCGUCUACCGGAAAGUUGAUCAAACUUGUCUGUUUAGAGGAAGUAAAA